rnacentral:lncRNA from 1 species
UUUUAAGAUUUCUUGUAAUCUACGAUUUUGAUUGGAGUGAAACUUGCAUGAGAAGAUAUUAGACUUGAUUUUCUAUGUGCAUGAGAAUUUUGAGAUCAAUCGGAUGGUGCAAAGAAGAGAUAUUGGCUCUCGAAGAUUGGCAUCAAGAUUGGAGAAGGAGGUCGGCCAAUACUUGAGCACUUUUUUGAGGUUAUUGUCAAUUUGAUAACUCCGAUUAUUUUCAAUUUAUUUGUGCUUGUUUUUAACUUAUUUUUUUAGAAUUUUGAAAAAUUUGAGUUAAGAUCAAUGGUUUAUUCUUAAGUUAUUGAGGUUUUAAACUAUUAUAGGAAUUACUAGGAUUUAGUUUAGGUUUUAGGAUUUGGAUUAGGAUUUGGUUAGGGUUUAAUUUAGAUUUUAGGGUUUAUUUAGGAUUUGGAUUAGAAUUUGGUUAGAAUUUGAUUUAGGAUUUAGGAUUUGGUUUAGAGUUUGGUUAGGAUUUGAUUUAGGAUUUGGUUGGGGUUUGGUUUAAGGUUUGUUUAGGGUUUGAUUCAAGGUUUAGGAUUUUAUUAAGAUUUAAAAUUCAAUUAGUUUUGGCCUAAAGUUUGAAUGAAGUUCAAUAGGAUUUUAACUAGAAUUAAAUUAAGAUUGAAUUGAGAUGUAUUUGAGUGAUAUUUGUGAUUCUUUUAAUAUUUCUUUAAGAAUUCUUAUUGUUUGUUUGAAAUUUCUUUGAGGUUUUUUUAAAUUUGAUUAAGCUUGCUUAGAAUUAUUAUGGUCUAAUUAGAGCAUUGUUAGUAUUCUAUUAGAAUUAGGAUUUUGUUAUUGCAAUUUCCAUUCUUCCUUCCACAGCCAGGUACUUGGAGCAUUC